rnacentral:lncRNA from 1 species
AUGACGGUGGCUUGGCAUUCGGGACACCAGCUUCAGAUGGUGGCAGAGCUCUGGAGGCUGAGGAAAGGAGCCGAGAAUUGCAGCACACAAAAAGUAAAGUCACGAGGAAACACGACAGAAACAAAAGCAUCCGUUUCAGGGUCCAGCACUGGAACCUCUGACACAGUUUCCGGGUUCUGUAUGUGCGUGUGUGCGUGUCUGUGUGUCCCUGUGUGUAUCCACUGGAAAGAGAAUGAAGGGAACAAGGGAGACAUAGCAUUCAUGAUUACACCUCCUUCCUUCUUCACCAUUUUGUUUCUCCUUCAUGCACUCUGGAAUCAAUUUGGGAAACGUGAGAGGGAUCUGAGUGUGUCGGGAUGGGGAGGUGCAUCCAAGUAAGAGCUAACACAGAGAUAUAGAUAGAAAGAGAAUACACAAGAACAAUGAACACACAGUGUCAGGGCCUAGUCCCUGGUUGUUAUCUGGUAGGAAAGAAACAAGUAGGAAGGUCAACGAUGACCAAAUGAUGAUUAAAAGAUUUUCUGACCUGCGUGAAGACCAUGCGUUUACAAUGAUUCUUUUUCUUUUUCUUUUUCUCUACAGUCCUCUCAGAAAACGUUAUCUGGUUAUAUUAUCCAAAAUCAAGACUUGUCACCUCAAACUGGCUUGGGUAAUCUUUUCUCUAUUUAUCUUUUUCUUCAUCUACAAAAUAAGACACUUGCAAAAUGCACUUUGAGUCUGUCACCUUCACAGUAUCAUGCUAAUAUUCAGCACUGCACAAAUAUUAUUGAUUUUUGGACAGCCUGCACUCUUCACCAAAUUCUUUCAAAUUUCAUUAAUUCUGUAUCUGGCAACAAUAUACAUUAGUAUAUAUAUCUUAAAGUUCAAAUACACUUAAAGGUUCUCAUCAAAGUAACACACCCUGAUAAUUUCCAGAGAAAUCAUGGGUUCCUAUCAAGACGCCAAAUGGUACGGCAUGUUGCAUCCUCCUCCCAAAACUUCAGAAGUCCUAAGGAACUAUGCACCCCCAGAAAUAACAAGAGUGACAACCCUGGGAAAUGACAGAGGCCUGAAGGCUGUCUCUUAAUUGGUGGGUAGCCUGGGAUUAGGGGCAGUGGGUGGCAGCCUUGAGGGGCUCAGUGUGAGGGAAAAUUUUAAGGACCGUUCUUGCCUCUCCCCUGAGUUGCUUGGAAGCGAUCACUUUCCUUUCUCAGCAGAAACAAGUAGCAACCACCCAGAUGUAGCUAGGAUAAAAGUAGAGUAGCAUUAGGUUAGCUGAUGAAAGCAGGGAAGGGCUGAACAAUCCUUGAUCCUUCACUCCUCCACCUCCUCCGUCUCCCAAGCCCCAGGUGACAACCUCAAAUGCCUCCUCAAAUGCCGCUUUCCCCAAGAGCUCAAA